rnacentral:rRNA from 1 species
AACGAACGCUGGCGGCAUGCCUAACACAUGCAAGUCGAACGAGACCUUCGGGUCUCGUGGCGCACGGGUGCGUAACGCGUGGGAACCUGCCCUUAGGUUCGGAAUAACUCCCCGAAAGGGGUGCUAAUACCGGUUACUGUCUUCGGACCAAAGAUUUAGCGCCUUUGGAUGGGCCCGCGUUGGAUUAGCUAGUUGGUAGGGUAAAAGCCUACCAAGGCGACGAUCCAUAGCUGGUCUGAGAGGAUGAUCAGCCACACUGGGACUGAGACACGGCCCAGACUCCUACGGGAGGCAGCAGUGGGGAAUAUUGGACAAUGGGCGAAAGCCUGAUCCAGCAAUGCCGCGUGAGUGAUGAAGGCCUUAGGGUUGUAAAGCUCUUUUACCCGGGAUGAUAAUGACAGUACCGGGAGAAUAAGCUCCGGCUAACUCCGUG